UACCAUGUGAAAGGAGGAAUGACUGUCAUGGCAUGAAAAAAGCAUCACUAUGAAAAAGAAAACUCAGUAGAAGAUAAUGGCAAGUCCAGACUGGGGAUAUGAUGACAAAAAUGGUAAGAGUUCUCCUGUUUAUAUAGAUCAAAAUGAUAACUUGUUCCCAUUUCCAACAGAAAAGAUAUUAAGUAUUUAAAAUAAUUGUACAGCUAUAGGUUAAUUGUUGAACUGUCUGCUUUAAAUAAUUAUACUAUCUUUGCAUGUAUUCUUAGCAUUGUCUUUUGGGGCAUGGCUGACUACAAA
rnacentral:lncRNA from 1 species